rnacentral:sRNA from 1 species
CAUAUUUUUAUACGUUCUCAACCUGCUGGAGAUAAAUCUUAUCACCCUUUCCAUAGCUUAUAUAUAUAUAUAUAUAUAUAUAUAUAUAUAUAUAUAUAUAUAUAUAUAUAUAUCCAGCAGGUUGAGAACGUAUAAAAAUAUG